UAAACAAGGGGCAUAACCACUCAGCAAAUUGUACUUACGGAUUUCGGAUGUGAUUGUGGAAUGUGUUUUAGGUUCAAACAUUUGUUAUGAUUUAUGAAAAUUUGGGGUCGCAAAAACUGGUGAACAGUGCCAGAAGAAGAACCAAAAUUCCAAGGCUCGGUCUUCUUCAUAUGCGUUACAAAGCAGUGAGCGUGCCACAACAGCCAGCAGUGAAGAACAUAUGGUAAAUAAAUAGAUUAUCA